rnacentral:rRNA from 1 species
GAUGAACGCUAGCGGCAGGCUUAACACAUGCAAGUCGAGGGGUAUAUCAUUUCGGUGAUAGAGACCGGCGCACGGGUGCGUAACGCGUAUGCAAUCUACCUUUUACAGGGGAAUAGCCCAGAGAAAUUUGGAUUAAUGCCCCAUGGUAUUAUGAAAUGGCAUCAUUUUAUAAUUAAAGUUCCAACGGUAAAAGAUGAGCAUGCGUCCCAUUAGUUAGUUGGUAAGGUAACGGCUUACCAAGACGAUGAUGGGUAGGGGUCCUGAGAGGGAGAUCCCCCACACUGGUACUGAGACACGGACCAGACUCCUACGGGAGGCAGCAGUGAGGAAUAUUGGACAAUGGGCGCAAGCCUGAUCCAGCCAUGCCGCGUGCAGGAAGAAGCAUCUAUGGUGUGUAAACUGCUUUUAUACAGGAAGAAACACUCCCUCGUGAGGGAGCUUGACGGUACUGUAAGAAUAAGGACCGGCUAACUCCGUGCCAGCAGCCGCGGUAAAACG